rnacentral:rRNA from 1 species
UCUGCCACCGAAUACAUUAGCAUGGGAUAAUGGAAUAGGACCCUGUCCUCCUAUUUUCAGUUGGUUUUGGCAGCGCGAGGACUAGGGUAAUGAUUAAUAGGGAUAGUUGGGGGCAUUAAUAUUUAAUUGUCAGAGGUGAAAUUCUUGGAUUUAUGAAAGAUUAACUUCUGCGAAAGCAUCUGCCAAGGAUGUUUUCAUUAAUCAAGAACGAAAGUUAGGGGAUCGAAGACGAUCAGAUACCGUCGUAGUCUUAACCAUAAACGAUGCCGACCAGCGAUUAGGAGACGUUGAAUACAAAACACCACCAUCGGCGCGGUCGUCCUUGGCGUCGGUCUUUCGGGGCCGGCGCGGGGACGGCUUAGCCCGGUGGCACCGGUGAAUGACUCCCCUAGCAGCUUGUGAGAAAUCAUAAGUCUUUGGGUUCC